rnacentral:tRNA from 1 species
AGGGCUAUAGCUCAGUUCGGUAGAGCAACUCGUUUACACACCGAGAAGGUCUACGGUUCGAAUCCG